CCGCACCCCGCCCGGGCCAAGUGCCCGGGGACUGCCCGGAGCCGGUCCCGGAGCCGCCCGCGGGCCUACGGCGCCCCCCCCCCUCUCCCCGUCCUUCCCCCCGCCCAGUUCCCAUCAGUCACCGCCGACGCCGCGGCGGCCGAAAUCUGGGCUCCGAGGGACCGGAGACUCCUUCCCCUUCGCUCCGGCCCGCCCCGUCCCAGAGUCGGGAAGAGGGGCCUGGGAUCCGAGGGAGCGCCCAGCCCACCCGCUCCCGGCCCAAGGCCGAGCUCGUCAUCCGUCAGUCAACAAACACAGAAAGCGGCCACUGGGCGCUGGGUCUGGGCUUAGGGGGACUAAAAUGAGGCGGUCUCCGCCCCGCAAAGAGAUCCAGCUCCUGAAGUCUUGUCAGGUUCCGGGCCUCAGUUUUCUCCCCUGUAAAAUGGGGAUUGUGGGGAGGGAAUAAAUCUCGGACGCGCACCCCGUGCUCCAUCAAGCCUCCCCCUGGAGAGGUAGGUGCUAUGAGCUGAGGAGGACAGAGGCUGCGUGAUCUGCGCAGUCACACGGUUAUAGGUCGAAUUCGAACUCCCGGCUUCCUGACUCCAUCCCUGGAAGCACCAGCUGGCUCCAGCUCCCGGCACUGAUGGCUCUGUUUUCUCUGGCCCCCUAAGGAGUAUUUAUCCGUUGCCCCGUCUGCACCUGGUGGGGCCCCCUUCCCCACCCCUGCCCUGCUCCCUUCCACCCCUCGGCGGCUCCGGGUCCUUCCCGACUCAGCCCCUGACCACUCCUAGCGGGGGCGGCCCUGGUCCCUCCGUGGCUAACGCCCUCCUUGCCCCGUCAGAAAGGACUUCACAUUGAGUGUGUAUUUGCUUCUCUACGUACGUACGUGACGCUCCUUCCCCACGAUCCCCACCUUCCACCCAGAGAACAUAAGCUUCUUGAGGCAGGGAUCGUUUCCUCUCUCGUCUUCCAGUUCCAGUGCCUGGCACCUAGUAGGUGCACAAUCCAUGUUGUGGGUGGAAGUAUUCUCUCCAUUUUACAGAUGAGGAAACUGAGGACAAGAUGAAGAAAGCAUUUGGUGUGAAGGAAAUGGAAUCCCACUCGGAUGAUCACAGCUUCAUUAGUUCCCAAUUGUAAAACCAUCAGAUCUCCUAGAGAUCAUCCAAUUUCAUUUUAGGGAUCAGGAAACUGAGGUUCAGAGACGAAAAGUAGCUCCAGAGGUCUCACAGCUCCCAACUUCAGCCCCCUUACUGCCUGCCUGGCCUGUGCCCAUUGAACCAUCCUGCCUGGGUGACCUGAGUGACUGGCCUUCAGACAAACUAGAAAGAAGGGAAUGUUUGGCUUCUUCCUUCUGGAUUGAGACCAGUAUCUGGGGAGGCAAACCUCUCCCCAGCCUUGAUUUUUCCACUUUUCCAAUGGGCCUACAAAGGGCAUUUUACCAGAAUUAGCCAGGUGUAAUCUAUUAGGAUGACAACCAGGAGGCACCAGAGAGCAUGGGAAUCUGGGCUGGAAGUCAGGAAGACUCAUCUUUAUGAGUUCAAAUCCGUCCUCAGAUACGUGAGCCUCGGCAAGUCACUUCACCCUGUUUGCCUCAGUUUCUUCAUCAGUAAAAAUGAGCUGGAGAAGGAAAUAGAAAAUCUCUCCAGAAUCUUGGCCAAAUGAGAUCACAACUGGUAUAUAUGGCUGAAAAAUGAGUAUUUAUUACAACAAGCUGUCUCGGCAAGUCUGAACUCACUUUGCCCUUCUGUAAAGUCAUGGGACUGCACUAAAUAAUCUUCAAGAGAUCUUUAGGCAGAGCUCAAUAAAAAUGUGAAUUUGAGCAAGGCAGAUAAGAUAAAAACUUCUAAGUUUAAGUAGAAUGUGAUCAAGCGCUUUAAGACCAAGAACACAGAGACUUCAGGCAGCUGGUAGUGGGGGACGUGGCUGCUCCUCCUUGAAGGCUGAGCAGGGAUGCACCAACUGGCUUGCCUUCAGGUAUACUAUACCUUCUGGACCUCUGACUGGCUAAUACCAUCUGCCUAGUUGCUGCGCCAAGAAAGGAAUACCAGGUCUUCCCAUCUGCCUUUUAGUGAAUCCUCAUAGAAGUCCUUGAAUUAAAAGUGUGUGCUCCUUGA